rnacentral:lncRNA from 1 species
AGAGAAUAAUAGCCACUGUGUUCUGAGGCAAGAGGGAGCCAGGAACAAGAUGAUCACACACAAGUUUUUUUCAACUGAAAACUGACCCAAACCACUGGUCUGGAAGCCAACUGGUCCUCUACCCUGAUUAUGUCGAGACAUGCUCACCCAGGCAAGGUGGUGAUUCUCAGAGGGAAGAGUAAGUAAAAAAAAAAAUUAUCAGAGGAUGAAUGUGAUUGUGAAGCAGUUAUUUUUUAGGAAACAAAAGAUGUGAAGGUUUUUUAGGGGUUUAUUGUUAUACAGAUCAUACUAAUUACCCCCAUUUUUAAAUCCUGAUCAGUCCAACAGAUUGAAUGAUACUGCUCUUGACAUAGCAACCAUCUUAGUCUCAUCUAGUGUUCCUUGG